rnacentral:sRNA from 3 species
GCACCUUAUAAAGCGGGUGCCGGGCGUGAGAACCCGGAAUUCACCAAAGCGCACAACCGCGCUCUUGCGGUUUUUUU